GAGGAAUAUUGGUCAAUGGGCGCGAGCCUGAACCAGCCAAGUAGCGUGAAGGAUGACUGCCCUAUGGGUUGUAAACUUCUUUUAUAAGGGAAUAAAGUGAGGCACGUGUGCCUUAUUGUAUGUACCUUAGGAAUAAGCAUCGGCUAACUCCGUGCCAGCAGCCGCGGUAAUACGGAGGAUGCAAGCGUUAUCCGGAUUUAUUGGGUUUAAAGGGAGCGUAGGCGGACUAUUAAGUCAGCUGUGAAAGUUUACGGCUCAACCGUGAAAUUGCAGUUGAAACUGGUCGUCUUGAGUAUGGAUGAAGUAGGCGGAAUUCGUUGUGUAGCGGUGACAUGCAUAGAUAUAACGAGGAACUCCGAUUGCGUAGGCAGCUUACUAAGCCAUAACUGACGCUCAUGCACGAAAGCGUGGGGAUCAAACA
rnacentral:rRNA from 1 species